rnacentral:rRNA from 1 species
GAGACAGCAGUAGCCACGGGAAUACGAAGGGUGCAAGCGUUAAUCGGAAUUACUGGGCGUAAAGCGUGCGUAGGCGGUUUGUUAAGUCUGUUGUGAAAUCCCCGGGCUCAACCUGGGAAUGGCAAUGGAUACUGGCAAGCUAGAGUGUGUCAGAGGAUGGUGGAAUUCCCGGUGUAGCGGUGAAAUGCGUAGAGAUCGGGAGGAACAUCAGUGGCGAAGGCGGCCAUCUGGGACAACACUGACGCUGAGGCACGAAAGCGUGGGGAGCAAACAGGAUUAGAUACCCCAGUAGUCCCUGUCUCUUAUAC